GACUAGGGGCGAAAGACUAAUCGAACCAUCUAGUAGCUGGUUCCCUCCGAAGUUUCUCUCAGGAUAGCAAGCACAGUUAAAGCAGUUUUUUUGUAUUUUUCUCAAUUAGGUAAAGAAUCAAUGAUUAGAAGCAUCUGGGGGCUUUAUUAGUGUUCUCGACUUAGUUCUCAAACUCUAAAUAUUUGUAAUAACUCGGUAUUCCUUAACUGAAGAUCGAGGCAGAAUGCUUGUGCUUAGUGGGCCAUUUUUGGUAAGCAGAACUGGCGAUGAGGGAUGAACCUAACUCUGAGUUAAGGUGGCCCAACUGCACGCGCAUCAGAUACCUUAAAGGGUGUGUUGAUUCAUUUAGACAGCAGGACGGUGGCCAUGGAAGUCGGAAUCCGCUAAGGAGUGUGUAACAACUCACCUGCCGAAUGAAUUAGCCCCGAAAAUUUUGAUGGCUCUCCAGCGUGCGACCGAUACUCAGACAUUGUAGCGAAAGUUUGACUGCAAUGAGUAGGAGAGGGCGUAGGCGUCUUGUUGAAGCUUUGAGCGUGAGCCUGAGUCGAAAGGCGUCUAGUGCAGAUCUUGGUGGUAGUAGCAAUUAUUCAAAUGAGAACUUUGAAGGCCGAAGUGGAGAAGGUUUCCAUGAGAACAGCAAUUGGUCAUGGGUGACUCGGUCCUAAGAUAUUGGUAAACGACCUUGCAAAUGGGCUUCGGCCCGCGAUCGAAGAAGGGAAAAUGAGGUUAAUAUUCAUCAAGCUGGCUAUGGAUGUCACGGCAACGUUUGUGAGCUCGGUGACACCGGCGCGUGCCUCUGGAAGAGUUAUCUUUUGUUUGUUAACAGCUAAGCGACCCUGAAAUCGGAUUACCCGGAGAUGAGGGUUGCAAAGCUGGAAUAGUGUAUGUUUUUAUUUUAGAUACAAAUAGAAGCGCUCGCGACGGUCCUUGAAAAUCCGAGUGAGGUAAUUUAUUCCAUACCAGGCCGUACCAAUAACCGCAUCAGGUCUCCAAGGUUAGCAGCCUCUGGUCGAUUAGAAUAAUGUAGAUAAGGGAAGUCGGCAAAUUAGAUCUGUAACUUCGGGAUAAGGAUUGGCUCUGAGGAUAUUAUUUAGUGUGGGAGAGCACCGGCGAUGACGGCCGAGCCAGGGGUGGUCUACUCGCUUCGGCGGGCGGAUCGCCUCUGAGCGACGCUCUGAUUCUGCCCGGAGCGCCUCCUGCACACGUUUAUGUUCGCAUAAUCACAAUCAACUCUGAACUGGAGCAGACUAGGGGAAUCCGACUGUUUAAUUAAAACAAAGUAUUGUGAUGGCCUCAGCAGGUGUUGACACAAUUUGAUUUCUGCCCAGUGCUCUGAAUGUCAAACUGGAGAUAAUAUAUAACACAAAUUCAAGCAAGCGCGGGUAAACGGCGGGAGUAACUAUGACUCUCUUAAGGUAGCUAAAUGCCUCGUCAUCUAAUUAGUGACGCGCAUGAAUGGAUUAACGAGAUUCCCAGUC
rnacentral:rRNA from 1 species